ACUCAUCUUUGUGAAAGGAAGCAUGGUCAAUUGCAGACCUAAAAUCGUCAAAGAUCCUUGAUUGGCAGGUUUAGAUCCAGUAUGGUUCCCUGGUAGAGACAUAGAAAUGAAAAUUAAGAAACAAAUAAACAACCAAAGAAAAAAAAUCUAACAUCUAGGUUUCACAGUGUAUUAGAAGUCACAAUCAUAGAAUAAUUACCAGGGCACAUAAUUAUUCAGUUAAAAGCCAGAUCACAUAGUGCCACAGACUAUGAAAAUAGUGUGGCAGCAAAACUACACAAAUAGAAAAAAGGAAGAAAAAAGAAAAAGGCCAAACCAAGAUUAAUGCAAUGGAAAAUGAUUAUAACAAAACAAUUUAUCAUAGUCAUGCAUACUUAGUUAGUUUAGCCCAUUGUUAAAGGCCCCCCAAACAAAGUGUUAGGCUAGAAAUAACUACAGAAGGAAAAAAGGAGUCAAUAAAGUUAAUUGCAAUGCUCAGAAAAACCUACAUGCUUGUUGAUCCUGUACAAAAGCAUUUAUAAAUAAUGAUGCAAUUGGUAGGCUUUAAAACAUUCAACAGAACUUAACACAUGAAAGGAAUCUUGGUUUUCAAAAAUAACAACUGAUAGCAGAUCCAAAUGGACAUAUGUACAUGUCGUCCAAAAAACCCAAAAUGCAGGUAGAUGCCAUAGCUUGUAACAACUAACAAAGCAAUUCAGGAAAAUCCAAACGAGAAAAGAAUCUUAAUUAUUGCCUGGAUGAUUAACUUCUUUUGGCAUUUCAACUCAGCCACUUAUAAUUUCAUGCAUUCAUAACUAUCAUAUCACCGAAUUUACUAGUGCUUCGAAAUGAUUCAAGCUCUUGCUCCU
rnacentral:misc_RNA from 1 species